ACGUCAUCCCCACCUUCCUCCCCGUUAUCCGGGGCGGUUUCGCCAGAGUGCUCACCAUAACGUGUUAGCAACUGGCAAUAAGGGUUGCGCUCGUUGCGGGACUUAACCCAACAUCUCACGACACGAGCUGACGACAGCCAUGCAGCACCUAUGCAGCAGUCCUUGCGGAAAGGGAUGUUUCCACCCCGGUCCACUGCAUUUCGAGCCCAGGUAAGGUUCUUCGCGUUGCGUCGAAUUGAACCACAUGCUCCACCGCUUGUGCGGGCCCCCGUCAAUUCCUUUGAGUUUCAGCCUUGCGGCCGUACUCCCCAGGCGGAUUGCUUAUCGCGUUAGCUGCGGCACGACGGGAUUGGGUACCCGCCACACCAAGCAAUCAUCGUUUAGGGCUAGGACUACCAGG
rnacentral:misc_RNA from 1 species